rnacentral:rRNA from 1 species
UACGUAGGGGGCAAGCGUUGUCCGGAAUCAUUGGGCGUAAAGAGCGCGUAGGCGGCCCUGUAAGUCCGCUGUGAAAGUCAAGGGCUCAACCCUUGAAUGCCGGUGGAUACUGCAGGGCUAGAGUCCGGAAGAGGCGAGUGGAAUUCCUGGUGUAGCGGUGAAAAUGCGCAGAUAUCAGGAGGAACACCGAUGGCGAAGGCAGCUCGCUGGGACGGUACUGACGCUGAGGCGCGAAAGCGUGGGGACGCAAACAGGA